AGCUUGCUAGAUGCUGACGAGCGGCGGACGGGUGAGUAACGCGUAGGAAUUUGCCUAGUAGUGGGGGAUAGCCCAGAGAAAUUUGGAUUAAUACCGCAUACACUCUACGGAGAAAAGCAGGAGAUCUUAGGACCUUGCCAUAUCAGAUAAGCCUGCUUGGGAUUAGGUAGUUGGUGAGGUAAGAGCUCACCAAGCCGACGAUCAGUAGCUGGUUUGAGAGGAUGACCAGCCACACUGGAACUGAGACACGGUCCAGACUCCUACGGGAGGCAGCAGUGGGGAAUAUUGCACAAUGGGCGCAAGCCUGAUGCAGCCAUGCCGCGUGUGUGAAGAAGGCUUUCGGGUUGUAAAGCACUUUCAGUUGGGAAAAAGUUAUAUAGUUUAAUAUGCUAUAGCCCUGUCGUUACCAACAGAAGAAGCACCGGCUAACUCCGUGCCAGCAGCCGCGGUAAUACGGAGGGUGCAAGCGUUAAUCGGAAUUACUGGGCGUAAAGCGCGCGUAGGUGGUUUGUUAAGCGAGAUGUGAAAGCCCCGGGCUCAACCUGGGAACUGCAUUUAAAACUGGCUAACUAGAGUAUGGUAGAGGAGAGUGGAAUUUCAGGUGUAGCGGUGAAAUGCGUAGAUAUCUGAAGGAACACCAGUGGCGAAGGCGGCUCUCUGGACCAAUACUGACGCUGAGGUGCGAAAGCGUGGGUAGCAAACGGGAUUAGAUACCCCGGUAGUCCACGCCGUAAACGAUGUCAACUAACUGGUUGUGGCCUUGAGCCGUGGCUUUCGGAGCUAACGCGUUAAGUAGACCGCCUGGGGAGUACGGUCGCAAGAUUAAAACUCAAAUGAAUUGACGGGGGCCCGCACAAGCGGUGGAGCAUGUGGUUUAAUUCGAUGCAACGCGAAGAACCUUACCUACUCUUGACAUCUACAGAAUCCAGCGGAGACGCCGGAGUGCCUUCGGGAACUGUAAGACAGGUGCUGCAUGGCUGUCGUCAGCUCGUGUUGUGAAAUGUUGGGUUAAGUCCCGCGACGAGCGCAACCCUUAUCCUUGAUUGCCAGCACGUAAUGGUGGGAACUUCAGGGAGACAGCCGGUGAUAAACCGGAGGAAGGUGGGGACGACGUCAAGUCAUCAUGGCCCUUACGAGUAGGGCUACACACGUGCUACAAUGGCGCAUACAGAGGGCUGCAAGCUAGCGAUAGUGAGCGAAUCCCACAAAGUGCGUCGUAGUCCGGAUUGGAGUCUGCAACUCGACUCCAUGAAGUCGGAAUCGCUAGUAAUCGUGAAUCAGAAUGUCACGGUGAAUACGUUCCCGGGCCUUGUACACACCGCCCGUCACACCAUGGGAGUGGGCUGC
rnacentral:rRNA from 1 species